UUUAAUUUUCGACCGAACACUUUAAAUCGGGUCGCAUCUAACCAUUUUAUAUCGCAAUGACACAAAAACGGUGUCUUUUGGCAGCUAAGAGCCUAUCUUUAUCAGUGUGCGAAAAGUAAAUCUAUAAACUUGGUAUCUAUAUAUAACGCACGAUAACAUGCCGAAAUUGUUUUACCUUUCUUGAUACACCCUGCACUAUACAUGUUGAAGAGUUUUCGAGAUUUCCAUCUACAAAAAACCAUUCAACAUUUAAUAUCGACUGAGAUGCCUGAAUUCCUGAUAUUUACCCAUAUACCUUACACUGGCAUCA